UCCAAAAUAUGAAGAAAAAUGACUUAUGGGAUAAGUCAACCGAUUGUCUCUAUAAGAAUUAUAAAAUCUGUUCAGAUGAUUUUGAGCAAUCACAGAUUCUGUGUACAGGCAGACUGGUGUGGAAUGCCGUCCCAACUAAACUUGAAAUUCCGAUUCAAAGAAAGCCCAUAAAGCAUAAACUACAAUUCAAAAAUGAGGAAGGCUACACAAGUGCUAAAAUAAUUAAAUUUUGUUUAAAAGAAGACCACAGCUAUAUGCAAAGCAUUAUUCAUUGGAAAAUGAACCAGACGAACAAACAAGCACUGGAAAUCACUCCAGUAUAAUAGAACCAGAACCCAAAGCACCUUUGGAAGUUACAGAAGAUACUAUUCUUGACACACAA